AUUGAACGCUGGCGGCAGGCCUAACACAUGCAAGUCGAGCGGAUGACGGGAGCUUGCUCCUUGAUUCAGCGGCGGACGGGUGAGUAAUGCCUAGGAAUCUGCCUGGUAGUGGGGGACAACGUUUCGAAAGGAACGCUAAUACCGCAUACGUCCUACGGGAGAAAGCAGGGGACCUUCGGGCCUUGCGCUAUCAGAUGAGCCUAGGUCGGAUUAGCUAGUUGGUGGGGUAAUGGCUCACCAAGGCGACGAUCCGUAACUGGUCUGAGAGGAUGAUCAGUAACACUGGAACGGAGACACGGUCCAGACUCCUACGGGAGGCAGCAGUGGGGAAUAUUGGACAAUGGGCGAAAGCCUGAUCCAGCCAGGCCGCGUGUGUGAAGAAGGUCUUCGGAUUGUAAAGCACUUUAAGUUGGGAGGAAGGGCAGUAAGUUAAUACCUUGCUGUUUUGACGUUACCGACAGAAUAAGCACCGGCUAACUCUGUGCCAGCAGCCGCCGUAA
rnacentral:rRNA from 1 species